rnacentral:lncRNA from 1 species
GUCCCCUGUCUCCGUGAGCCCUUUGUAGCAGUAGGCAGGGCCUCUUGCUUCCUCAGCCUCAGAGACAAUACUGUCUGGCUGAGUCCAGAGUUAUCUGCCUCCGCACUCUGCUCUGUUGCAGUUUCAUUUCUGUUCCUUCCUUCCAGUCUACCACUCCUAUGGAAAUGGUUCCCUUUUGAGGUUACAUCAAUACCACAUAAUUGAUGACUCUUCGAGAGACCCAGAGAUGAGCUGGGAGCAACUUGUGUGGAAUCCUGAGUCUUAGUCAGUCUAACACUGGAAACUGUUCUUGUAAGCAAGAGCUAGAUACAAGCUUGUGGAACGAAGGAUACAGAGGUGGCUCAGAGAGCAUCUCUUGGGAACUGUUGCGAGAUCAGGAUGUAAAGCUCUCAGCUACUUCUCCAGCACCAUACCUAUCUGCCUGUCAACACAUUUCCUGCCAAGAUGAUAAUGGACUAACCCUCUAAAGCUGUAAACAAGCCCCCAAUUAAAUGCUUUCUUCUAUAAGUUGCCUUGGUCAUGGUGUCUCUUUAUGGCAAUAGAACAGUAACUAAGGCUUCUGGGAGGGACAGACCCAUUGUCGAUCAAAUAGUGUGGCUGAGAACAGGGUAGAGUUAGUAGCUAAACACAGGGUAGAAGAAAAGGAAAUUGUCCACGAUGCUGAAUUGCCC